rnacentral:lncRNA from 1 species
AACAAAUAAAGUAGAAUUUUGGUAUAAACCAGCCGAUUUAGGAGAAAUGGAUUGCUUGCUGGUUCUUGAUGCGUUCAAAAAAAAAAAAAAAAUGAAAUUUGACUUGUAAUUGUGUGGUUGAACCGACCAAUCAAUUCAAUUUAAAAAUAAUGAGUUUCAGCUUGUUCUUUCUUCCUUAAUCCCUUUAGUGUUAUUCAAUAUAAUUUACCAAUCAAUUCCUAAACACACUAGAUAUGAUAAGCUAAGGGCACCUAAAGGUAACCGUCCGGAUAUUGAUUGGCCUUGGUUUGACAUGAUUUACGUGUUACUGGUUCCCAGAAGAGUUAAUAUCUGUAUUAGUUAAAUUGGAAGUGUUCGAGUUAUUGGCUCGUUCAACCCGACAGUAUUCAUGGCAAUUUGAUCAACUUUGUUAAUUGCUUUAUUUUCAUCCUAGUCUUAUCUAGUGGUAAUAUAACAAAAAAUGCAAAGGAGCAUAAAAGAAUUUGAUAAAACUAUUGGCUCAAAACCUCAAGUGCAAAAGCAAAAAUGUAAACAAAAGACAGAUGGUCACUUGCUAUUAGCCACGUGGUGUACAUGAAAGUUACAUUCCUAAGAACUGUAGCCUCAAGAUGCAAAAGCCAGUACGUAUCUAAUCACUUUUGUCCACUAAUUGUUUUGCCUAAAAAAAAAAAGUCUCCACCUUCCCAUCUCACCAUAUAAUAAAGAAAUCUCCACCACCGUGGCCGUUGCCACUCAACCACUACCAUUGGCGGAGGUUGGCCAACGGGAUGCCUUAACUGGAUGUCUCGAUCAAAGUCAUUUGCAAGGUUAAUGAAUUUGCAAAACUAAUGCAUAUAAAGUUGUAAGUACGAUUUGUAACUUUGAUAAAUCAAAUCGAACUCAUCUAAUAAGCUGUGUUCAACUUCACAGAUCCAUAAAUGAUCAACCACUUUACUGUUGGACCACAUAUAUCAUGUUCGGCUAAUCUAAAGUGUCAUAAAACUAGGAACAUUAAUGUAUGCUACCUAAACUUUUACUUCAUUAACCAAAAAGAUCUAUGGUUUGUUGCGCCUUUAAUGAGUUAAAAUUUAACAUCUACUUUUCACAGAAAAGACCUCAUUAACUAGAGUCAAUUUCCCUGCCAUAUAUUCUUGAAACACAAAUAAUAAUACUUUAAUCACAUACUUCCCAUCGGAUAUGUUCAAUACGUUGAAUUCAAAUUACUAUCAGUCUUAUCCAGAUCAAUUCAGACAUAUACGGAGCAUUGAAUUAAUUGUUCCAAUAUCACUAAACUUAGGUUAAUGUUUUUAUUGGUAAUUAAAAUUUAAAAUGUCGAGUUUUGAUUACUAAAAUUAGGCC